CCUGAUAGCUUAGUUGGUAAAGAAUCUGCCUGCAAUGCAGGAGACCCUGCUUCAAUUCCUGGGUCAGGA
rnacentral:tRNA from 1 species